CCUACGGGAGGCUGCAGUGGGGAAUAUUGGGCAAUGGGCGCAAGCCGGACCCAGCAACGCCGCGUGAAGGAAGAAGGAUUUCGGGUUGUAAACUUCUUUUCUGGGGGACGAACAAAUGACGGUACCCCAGGAAUAAGCCACGGCUACCUACGUGCGAGCAGCCGCGGUAAUUCGUAGGUGGCAAUCGUUAUGCGGAGUUAUGGGGGGGAAAGAGCGGGUAUGCGGGAAGUCAAGUCAGAUGUGAAAACGCAGGGCUCAACCCUGAGCCUGCAUUGGACACUGUGUUUCUUGAGUGCUGGAGAGGCAGUCGGAAUUCCGUGUGGAGCGGUGAAAUGCGUAGAU
rnacentral:rRNA from 1 species